ACUUCCUUCCUCUUGUACUGCCGCUGCUACUGCCUCCUCCCCCACCUUUCUCCACUGCCACCACCACCAUCACCACCACCCUGCUCUCAUCUUGGACUGGGGGUUGGGAGGAGGCGUGACCUCUAACAUGCUGAAGUUCUUUCUCAUAUCUAAAUCCAGUGCAGCAUUAGCCAUGUGGGUCCCUGGCCUUAGGUGACAGAUAGAGCAGGGCCCUCUUCUUCCCCUGGGACACUUGUUUCCUGUUCUGUCAAUUCAAAUUGGAGUGGUCAAGAGGGCCCUGGGAGUGAUUUCUCUCCAGGACUGUGAUCUGUGGCUCCCUGACAACUAUGGGAGACAGAUUCAGUGGGGCUCCCCAGGGUUAGCAUUAUGGAAUUUCCUGUUAUUCUCAGUGUCUGUAAGGACUGAACAGGGAGUCUGCUCAUCAAGUACGACAGUUGCACAGGGUCUCUGCUACCUCAGAAACCAGGGAUAAUAUUCUUCAGAGUGACCCUGACAAAAUGAGGGAGAUGAAUCAUCACAACCAAGACAAUGUUCAGAGGAGAUGAACAUGUGGUAGUAUGUACAAAAACCAAAACUCAGAACUAAUAUAUUAAUAUGGCACAUGGGACAAGACAAAUGGGCAGUGAUUGACUUGACACAUAUAUAGUUAAAUAAAGAACUGGGUGCACAAGUUGAAUGAGUCCACAGUUUUAGAACAGGUUUCCUCUCUCUUCCCUCCCUCCCUUCUUUCUUUUAUUCUUUCCAAAACUAAUAUGGAUACUAGUGUAUAGUAACAAAAACAUAGAGGAGUUGAGAAGUAUCAGAAUGUGAGUGUACGAACUAGAAGUAACCCCAGUCAUCUAACCCAACCCACUUACUGUGAAGUUGGGGAAAUGGGCCCAUUACUGUUAGUGUUUAGAAACAGGCCUAGAAUACAGCCUAGUAAUGUAUGGUCCUUCUCACAGCCCUACUCAGCAUGUUCCACUCUACCUGCCACUGGUUAUGACUUGGUUAUGAGCAACAAACACCUUUAAUACAUGUGGAAAAGUGGAGAGGAUGUGAAGAGCAAAAGCAAUGUGUCAAAGGACUGGGUGUUGGGGUUUUCUUUUUUUAAUUUAGAAAGAAGGAAGCUGGCUGGGGAUUUAGCUCAGUGGUUUUGCCGUCUGCUAUGCAAGCAUAAGGACCUGAGUUCAAUCCCCAGUGCCAAAAAAAAAAAAAAAAAGAAAGAAGGAAGCUGACGAGGUAGCAUUCAAUUGUGGAACACCUACUAUAUGACAAGUAUGCUAAUACCAUCUUCAAAAUGUGACUCCUAAAUCAGGACAGAGUUGAGUUCUCUCAUGACCUAUGUUCUCCAUUUCUUCUGAGAAUGAUAGGGGGGAAAUGAGGUUGAGUGAAACCCAGGGAUAGAUUUUGCUAUUGAUAGGAGUGAGCAUGGGCACCUAGUAUGUCCUCAAUAACAUUUGCCAAGUGGAAUGAAUGGCUGCUAAGGAAAGCCCUAGUAUCCUUCAUUCUCCUGAAAGCAGAGGGCUGGAUUAUAUCACCUUUUGAGCUCAAUUCAGUCUUAUUAUGUUCUAAUGUUCAAUUGCUCCAUUUCAGAUCUUUCCAAUCUGGGCCUCCCAUUCUGAGAUGAGUAUGUAUAUCUCCAAAUCAGGAGUCUCCCUAUUUUGGGGAGAUUUAGUCUCCCUUUUUUGGUUUUUUUGUUUUUUGAAACAAGGUCUCACAAUGUAGUUCAGACUGGUCUUGAACUCAUCUUGUAGCCCAGGCUGGCCUCAAACUCACAGCAAUCCUCCUGCCUCAGCCUCCCAAGUGCCAAGAUUAUAGGCAUGCAUCACCAUACACCUCUUAGUCUCUCUUCUUAAAACUCAAGGUUCCAUAACAAACCCACCUCAAAUUACAGGCCUAUUGGGGACCAAUCGGUAACAGUACAGUUGGUCUUCACACCUUUGGGAGGCCUGGGUGGAAGAGGCAACCACCAAAAUCAAGAUUUCAAUCUAAUUUUGUGCCUAUAGCUUGAGGUUCUUGGCCCCAGUGCUGACUACCAGCCCUGAGCCCAGCUAAAAAAUAGCCCAGCUUUUUAUAUGAAGAGAAGCUGAGGAUGUAUUUGGAUUUUAUCCCACAUUGCAAAGGUCAUUAGUGCCUAGAUUAGGUCUAUCUCACAUCCCUCAGUUUAUGUUUUCUAUUUUAGUCCUUUAGUGAACCAGACAUAGCUAUCUUGGAAUCUGAAUUUUUGGUUGUGUGUGUGUGUGUGUGUGUGUGUGUGUGUGUGUGUGUGUGUGAAGGCUAGAAGUUGGUCACUGAGGAAAUCUUUACAGAAGUAUGGUUACCAGGCCAGGAGGCCUGGCCUUUACUGGUUUAAUUAUACUAUGUAGAAUGGAACACACCCACUUUGAUGUGCAUAUUGUAAGAAAGACAAAACCGAACCAUGAUAAAAUAAAUGAAAUGUAUAAUCUAGUAUGCUACUUCAAUGUACAGUAAAGGUUAAAAGGACUAGAGAAAUUGUAAGAAAGGCUAUAGCUGUGGGUGGGUGUGUGAGUGGAGGUAGUGGGCAGACUGAGAGUUCCAGACUGAGAAACUCUGCCAAAGCAUGGAGGGCAGGAGGUCUAGGCAUGCUUGAGGAGCAGUGAGGGGACUGCCCUGACCAAAGGAGAGGGUUCAAGUGGGAAACCAUAUUGGCAAGGUGGUCUGUGCAGGUCUUCAUAACCCCUGAAGGGCUUGGGUAUUAUUGAAUGAAUGAUGCCUGCUAAUAGUUUUACAGUGAGAAAAAAAAAACCUUCUCAGCUUUGCUUUUGCUACUUCUCUAUGCUCCUAAACAGUCUUGUGCCAGAGAGCCUUCAGCUGCUCUGAGAGACACCAUUUCAUGGUCUGGUCAAUAACAGCCCAGAGUAGUUGUGAGGACUUGAAGUUCAGUUGCAGGACAACUGAUGGUGGCUUCAAAAACUACACAAAGAACGGAAAAUUAUGUGUGCUGCAGCCUGGAGAUUGACAAACAUGGCCCCACCGUUUAACAGAUGUGAAAAGGUGAAUGCCACAAAUUAUAGAUCAAUAAAUGUGAUACUGAUCAAGGGCAAGAUUCUUGGAGAAAUGAUUAGAAGGAUGAUUGGUGAGCACUUACAAAAGGAAGUGAAGAUUGCUCAGCCCCUGCAUUGAUUCAGGAAAAACAAAUCACUUACUCCCAGUUCAACUCAUUUCUUUUGGUAGGGAGAAUGGACAGGUAGAUGAGGGGAAUGUUACACUCAUAGCGUUUGGAGUUUGACAAAACAUUCUCUUAUUAAUCUUGGGACAAUACGGAGAAAAUGUGGGGUGGGUAAAGAGAAACUUAGGCAGACUCUUAACUGGUUAAGUGACUGACUACGCACAAAAGGAUUCUGUUUUAAUGUCACCAGGUCAGAUUUACAAAUUUCACAAUGCUGGUAAAUUCCCUUAUUUUGAUUCCAAAAUGUAACAGUACACAUGUAGGAUGUGAGAGAGUAGCCUAUAAGGUUUUAGAGUAAAUGAAAGUUCAUCGUGAGUUAUAAGUUGCUGCAAAAGGACCACAUUAACUGUAACCGUGAACUGUAUUAAUAAGAGGGUAUCAUUCAGAAGAAAGGAUGUGACCGUCUGUGCUGCUCUGCACCAGUCAGCCUACAGCUGCUGCCUCUGUUCAAUUAUGGGCCCCAGACUUCAAGAGAUGAUGACAAAGGCAUAUCCAGAGAAGAAUGGUGAGAAUAGUGAAAAGACUGGAGAAUCCUAGGAGAAAUUUGUCUACUGUUGCCAAAUCAGUACUGGCCCCAUGGGGAAGAGGAAGAUAUAGAUUUGUUCUGUGUGAUUCCAAAGGCUUUGAGAUCUAAUGGAAGUUAUAGGAAAACAGAUUUAGGUUCAA
ensembl:lncRNA